UUACUACUCCCUCCGUUCCUAAAUUCUUGUCGUUUUUUAGUACAAAUUUGAACUAAAACAAUGACAAGAAUUUAGGAACGGAGGGAGUAUUAU
rnacentral:pre_miRNA from 1 species